rnacentral:lncRNA from 1 species
UUUACUUAGUCAGAGUCAUUGUUUUACCCUUUCUAUCUGCAUGACUGCUUUCUUCUUAUGAUGAGUAGUGCCCAUCACUCGCCUCUCUGUCCCUGUAUGAAGGAGCAUCCACUGCGCUUACUAGUGGGUAUGAUUAAAGUAAAGAGCGGGUCUCUCAGAAAAAGGACCUUAUCUGUAUCCGUCUCUGUUACUAGAACUAGCCACCCCUUGGGAACCGUGUCCCCUUUUCCCCUGCAAUGAAGGGCGGAUGGCUUAGCCUUGCCUUUUGAAAGAAUAAAAUGGAAAAAAUUCCUUUGAAGGAAAAAAUAAAUAGGAGAAGAUAGCCACACCGACGCACAGAGAAUGAAUAGGGAUGCAUUGGAGACGAAUAAGGGCAGAAACUGACAUGACAUCUUUCUUUCCUGCUCUUCUAGUUAGCGCGUAGUGGGAAUAGCCCCUUCCAUUGCCUGAAAGCCAAUAAAUAAAGAGUGCCUCACGUUCCACUGAACGCUGGGGAAGGAAAGGCACUGACUCCCGCCUCUAUGCUAUAGGCAGUGGAGACCUGCUCUUAUACUCAGUAUAAGUAAGGUUCUCCUCCGGUAGUCAAAAGAUAAGUCUGAGUUCCCCUCUCUUUUAUCGUCGAAGAAGAGUCAGAUAUAAGGAUACCUACUAGAUUGAAGAAGCGCACUCCCAUCCAACCUUCUUCUAUUCCGGUUAAGCCUUAUCAGUACGCCUGGGAGCUGUGUUCUUCCUGCCACUACUGAGAUUGAAUGACCUUUUUUUUGAGAGGAUAGCUAGCCAAGCUGUCUAUCACUGACUGAAAUCCCGAGCUUUGAAAGAAUUUAUCUCAUGAUUUACUACUAUAUGUAUGAAAGUGCUCGACCUAUAAACUUGACCUACCUACCGUAGAUAGAUGCGAUGAUUUAUGGCCCUCGAGAAUGCUGUCGCUAACCUGUUAGGGGGCCCAGGGAGUACCAUGAGUUGAUGUGUAGAGAUAGGACCGGUCGAGCUAUUCUAUCCUUCUCGGGGUGAGUUGCGAAGCUAGUUCCCGAGUUCUUAUAUUUAUAAGAAAAGCAGAUUAGUGUAGAACUGCCCAAUCCAUAAGAUGUAAGCACCUACCUGUCCUUCUCAGCCCAGAGAACUCACUUAUAGAAGAGCUUAGCUACAAAUCUUACUUGAAUAAUAAGGGCUCCAACUCUUCUAGCAUUUCUUUUCCCGUCCAAGACCACAUAAAGAAAGAAUAAUAAAAAAAGGAAUGGAUAUAUAGAAAAAGAGAAGUAGAAUGCCUGACUUUUUAUUUUAUUUUACACAACGAAAAAGAAAGAUCAAGCCCAAAAUCAAGAUUGAAAAAAGCACUAGACUGGAAGGGGUGGUCAUUAUAGCGGUUCCUUCUGAUCCUAUGGCAAGUCUCAACCCAGAGAAAUCGGGAAACAAGAGAAAGUAACCCUAAAUACAAAAAAAAACAAGAUUCUUCGUCUUUCAGCCAUACUCUUGUUUUCGCCCCUAAGUCGUCCUGCACGACAUAUUAGAAUAACUAUAAGGGGAACAUAAGCUCCUAAAAUUAUAAUAUAAAUGUGUAUGGAAAGUUCCGCAAAAAAUGCCAUCGUUCGUUAGUUUUAUUCACUCAUGAUCUGGCCUGGUCGACCCAAUCAUGAGAUUGAAGGAUGGGACCUUUUCUCGAAAAACUCCGGAUCCCGAGAAGAGUUGAAGAUGGUGCAACAUCGAAUCCUGUUACCUUACUUCGAAUGGAAUCUUAGCCCG